UAUAUAUGCAUACAGAUGCACAGAUGCUUAUAAAACAAAUUGGAUAUCAGAACUGUUCUGUUCUGUUCUGUUCCGUUCUGGCAAUAGAUAUUUUUGCAUGCCAUAUGAGAAAGCGAUGCAGGCAGUUUAUAAUUUGCGGCUUUAUACUGAGAAAAUGUUUUGUAAUAUUCGCUUUAUCUACGACAUCCAUUUUAAGUUCUGUUCCGUUCGCUGUGCCUGUGUAAAUUGUAUUUUUUUUUUGUUUUUUCUUUUAUUUUAAAUUUUAGUCUUAGUCUCUAUUAUUUUUUUUUUUAUAUUAUUAUUAUCAUUAUUGUGUUUUGGAGCAGCGGUUAAGUUACUAAAGACGCAAAUUAAAAUUGAUUUGAGUUUCGUUUAGGAUUUCAAUUAGCAGUAUGCAAAAAUGUAAAUAAUAUAUCAAUAUUCAUAUACAUUUAUACGGAUACUCAUGCAAAUGUUGAGCUACUUAAAUUGUACCCACAGCGUUAAGGAAAGGAAAAUCGGGCAAAUCCUCUAUAAAGUUGAUGCGGUGCUAUAAACCAUAUUUAAACAAAAACAAAGGGAAAAUCGCUUAAGAGAAAUUUGACAAAAUUGUGUAUAAAAGAAUUGCUCUCUUUAGCGAUUGAUGCUAUUUACAGAUGAUUAAACGAAAUAAAAUCAAAUUAUUUAAACAUUUUUCUGUGACCAUUAACAGCCUGUAACAAAGGAAAUUCAUUAGUUUCUAAAUAAAUUACACAAAUCAAAACAGA